rnacentral:lncRNA from 1 species
CGUCUGAUGACUACAAAUGAUUUGCUUUUCUUCCUGUUGAGGGGUAGAGUCAUGUUCUGCCCUGCCUUGAAUCCCAGCUGCCUCUGUGGCUGGCUUUAACCAAUAGAAUGAGGCACAAGUGAUCCCAUGCAUCUUCUAUGACAUCUGCCUGUGGUGCUAGGAAUUCUCUUUCUGGGAACUCAAUGGCCAUGCUGAGAUAAGCCUAAACCACAUGGAGAUGGCAUGUGCAGGAGAACUGGGUUAUCCUAAUUGAUAGACCUAGCGGAGCCCUCAGUUGAGAGCCAACAUAAACAGCCAGUCUUUAUGACUGAGAGACUUCUUGAAUGUGCCCACCUCCGUGAAACCUCCAGGUGACUGCAAUUUCAGCCAAUGCCAAAGGAAGCAAAGGAACCACUUACUCAAGCAUUGUCAAUUCAUACACCCGUAUGUACGGAUCCGUAUCCGUAUUUAUACAGAUAAUCAAGUAUCUAGAAGGAAGGAUGUGAAGGCCAUCUUGGGGAAAGGCUGCAUGCAAAGCUGAGGACAGGUCAUAAAAUUUGCAUGUAAUAGAUGUAGGCUUGAGCCUACAGAUCUUCCACCAUUAAGGGUUUAUGUUUGCAUAAACUGUUAACCUGAUUGUCAAGGCUCUCAUCCGACCAAUAGGUGGAUAGCAACAUUUAAUUCACAAGUCCUGUGAGAGAUUUAAAUGAGAUAACCUGAUGCUAUCUGAGCUCUGAAUGUGUAUUGAAAAUGGAGCACUGUGAUUAAAAUAGUAGAAUUUACAUAGAGACACAAACAAUUGUCAGCUCAUUACCAUAUCAACCGGAGUCCUAUGGUGAAAAGACCAAAAAGUGCACAUCUAGAAGAGAUGGAAAUCAUGGGCAAAUAUCCACCACUGACUUUAGAUGAUUACUUUUAGAAAGGCUCAGGAAGUAGCCCAAACCACAGGACACAAGUCCAUGAUACAUUUGACUACAAGCAUGCAAAGAAUUUCUUAGAGAGAUGGCAUUUAGAAGUUAAGAAAGUGCAAUUUGUUCUCUAUGACUUGCGAUUUUUAUAAAACAGUGUUUUUAUUUGCAAAACUUAGAGUAUUGUCAUCUAGUUCUUUUGCUUGUACUUGGCCUCAAA